CGAGGACUGCUAGACUCUAAUUCUGGGUCCACUUGGCCUCUCAUGGGCGAGAGUGGCGAGUGGCCUCCUGCUACGAGCAUGACUGCCGGUUUCUCCCGAGUCUCCUGUAAUUCCUGCUGCAUUCUUGUUGCUUCGGAUGCAGACAGACUGCUUCCUGCAACUAUGGCUGACUCUGCUAUUUUGUCCCAAGCCAGGCCAACCAUGUUCUGAGCGGAAGUCCUACUGUCUCUUCGGUGCAUUGCAAAACAAACAAGCAAGGAAACAAACAAGCAAACAAAACAAACUACUUCCAAAGGACAGAGAAAGGGAACACUGGGUUUUCAGGCGUGUAAGUCCUGUAACCAUCACAUAGUUCUCUGUGUUUUUCAUUUUGGUUUGAAGAAUGCUACAAGGCCCACUGUCAACUCCCUUUAGAAGGCUGAGACCAGAGGAAAGGAUUGGAAAUAUAUCUACCAAUAUGCCUUCAAGGAAAAAUAACAGAAAACCCAACUCAAAUUGGCUUAAACAAGAAAGAAACUUUUUUUGACCUGCUUAACUGAAAAGUCUAAAGGAUCAAGCGAACUUCAGGAAAUGGCAGGUGGAGGAGCUGCUUCUGCCAGCUGGAUCUGCAAUUCGGACAGCACGAAGAGCAUGGAAACGGGGCCAUUACCCAGUUUGCUAAAUUAAAGAAGGCAACCAGUCUCGGCAGGCCAUCAGCUCCACACAGUCACUGCCCUACUGUACAUGCCAACGACCCAUCUGAGGGAUCAGCUUCCCUUUGCUCCCCAAACGAGAGCCUCUGCUCUUGGGCACCUCAGAGAUGCGUGUGUGUGUGUGUGUGUGUGUGUGUGUGUGUGUGUGUGCGCGUGUGUGUGCAUGCAGACUAUUUGGAAAUUCGCUUUUAGAUGGAUUAAUGCUCGGUAAAGCUCUCAUGUUUCUCCAAAGUAUAUCCAGUGAGUAACAGUAGUAUUUUCAAUCAAUAGUAUUGCUUGCUAAAAUAACAGAUCUACAAUAAAGCCUUCUA
rnacentral:lncRNA from 10 species